CCUACGGGUGGCAGCAGUAGGGAAUCUUCGUCAAUGGACGAAAGCCUGAUGGAGCAACGCCGCGUGAGUGAAGAAGGCUUUCGGCUCGUAAAGCUCUGUUGUUAGAGAAAAAAGGUAAUGGUAGUAACUGUUCUUUAUUUGACGGUAUUUACUUAGAAAGUCACGGCUAACUACGUGCCAGCAGCCGCGGUAAUACGUAGGUGGCAAGCGUUGUCCGGAUUGAUUGGGCGUAAAGGGAGUGCAGGCGGGACAAUAAGUCUGAUGUGAAAGUCUUCGGCUCAACCGGAGAAGUGCAUCUGAAACUGGUGAACUUGAGUGCAGGAGAGGAUAGUGGAAUUCCAUGUGUAGCGGUGGAAUGCGUAGAUAUAUGGAAGAACACCAGUGGCGAAGGCGGCUGUCUGGUCUGCAACUGACGCUGAGGCUCGAAAGCAUGGGUAGCGAACAGGAUUAGAUACCCGGGUAGUC
rnacentral:rRNA from 1 species